CUUUGUUGGUAUGUGGUGCUGAGGAUCGAACCCGGGCCGCACGCAUGCCAGGCGAGCGCGCUACCGCUUGAGCCACAUCCCCAGCCCAUAGGGUAUUUUAUAUAAGGGACCUGAGCCAUGUGAGGACUUGGGCAUCCAUGGGAGGUCCUGUGACCAGUUCCCCUCAGAUACUCCAGGACAACCAUAUGCCCAUAGAGUAAUGGACACAGAGAAGAACUACCUGGGUCUGGUUGGGGAAGUCAAGGAAGGCAUCAGAGUGGAGGCAGCUUUUGACCUGGGCAUAGAGGAUGAGGUGGCUGGCAAGCUGGGGGCGUGUGUGUGUGUGGGGGGGGGCAGCGGACAGAGCAUGGAGGGCUUUGCCUCCCUUUCAGAAGAGUUUGUAUUAUACCUGGGAAGUGAGAGAGCCAUUGAAGGCUUUGAGGGUAAGAGUGACAGCAUCAGAUCUGGUGGCAAGGUGGAGGUUGUUCUGGAGGGACAUGACCCUAGAUCAGAGCUUCUUAACUGGGUGCCUGGACUUGCAAGGGAUCCAUGGACAGAAUGCUUGGGAUCUGUGAGCUUAAGUUGGAAAAAAGAAUUAUAUUGUCAUUGUCACUAUCCUGUGACUGAAAUUUAGUAUUUCCUUUAAAUAUGAGUCUAGGCAACAGAUCACAG
rnacentral:lncRNA from 1 species